rnacentral:rRNA from 1 species
CAAUAGCGUAUAUUAAAGUUGUUGCGGUUAAAAAGCUCGUAGUUGGAUUUCUGCCGAGGACGACCGGUCCGCCCUCCGGGUGAGCAUCUGGCUCGGCCUAGGCAUCUUCUUGGGGAGCGUAUCUGCACUUCAUUGUGUGGUGCGGUAUCCAAGACUUUUACUUUGAGGAAAUUAGAGUGUUUCAAGCAGGCCCACGCCUUGAAUACAUUAGCAUGGAAUAAUAAGGUAGGACCUCGGUUCUAUUUUGUUGGUUUCUAGAAUUGAGGUAAUGAUUAAUAGGGAUAGUUGGGGGCAUUCGUAUUUAACUGUCAGAGGUGAAGUUCUUGGAUUUGUUAAAGACGGACUACUGCGAAAGCAUUUGCCAAGGAUGUUUUCAUUGA